AUUGAACGCUGGCGGCAGGCCUAACACAUGCAAGUCGAACGAGUGGCGGACGGGUGAGUAAUGUCUGGGAAACUGCCUGAUGGAGGGGGAUAACUACUGGAAACGGUAGCUAAUACCGCAUACCAUCGGAUGUGCCCAGAUGGGAUUAGCUUGUUGGUGGGGUAACGGCUCACCAAGGCGACGAUCCCUAGCUGGUCUGAGAGGCUGACCAGAGACACUGGGACUGAGACACGGUCAAGACUCCGAGGCGAGGGAGCAGUGGGGAAUAUUGCACAGUGGGCGGAAGCCUGAGGCAGCCAUGCCGCGUGUAUGAAGAAGACCUUCGGGUUGUAAAGUACUUUCAGCGGGGAGGCGUUACCCGCAGAAGAAGCACCGGCUAACUCCGUGCCAGCAGCCGCGGUAAUAC
rnacentral:rRNA from 1 species